rnacentral:rRNA from 1 species
UUUCUUCGGGGGACGCGGUGACAGGUGCUGCAUGGCUGUCGUCAGCUCGUGUCGUGAGAUGUUGGUUAAGUCCCGCAACGAGCGCAACCCUCGUCCUUAGUUGCCAUCAUUCAGUUGGGCACUCUAAGGAAACCGCCGGUGAUAAGCCGGAGGAAGGUGGGGAUGACGUCAAGUCCUCAUGGCCCUUACACGCUGGGCUACACACGUGCUACAAUGGCGGUGACAGUGGGCAGCAAACUCGCGAGGGUGAGCUAAUCUCCAAAAAGCCGUCUCAGUUCGGAUUGUUCUCUGCAACUCGAGAGCAUGAAGGCGGAAUCGCUAGUAAUCGCGGAUCAGCAUGCCGCGGUGAAUACGUUCCCAGGCCUUGUACACACCGCCCGUCACACCAUGGGAGUUGGUUUCACCCGAAGGCAGUGCGCUAACCGCAAGGGGGCAGCUGACCACGGUGGGAUCAGCGACUGGGGUGAAGUCGUAACAAGGUAGCC